AGCAGCCGCGGUAAUUCCAGCUCCAAUAGCGUAUAUUAAAGUUGUUGCAGUUAAAAAGCUCGUAGUUGAAUUUCGAGAUCGGUUUAUUGGUCGUGCUAUUGUACGUACUGGUAUUACCGGUUUCUCCUUUCUGACGAACCUUAAUGCCAUUAAUUUGGUGUUUUGGGAAAUCAGGACUGUUACUUUGAAAAAAUUAGAGUGUUUAAAGCAGGCUCACGCUUGAAUACAUUAGCAUGGAAUAACGGAAUAGGACGUUUGAUUCUAUUUUGUUGGUUUCUAGGAUCGACGUAAUGAUUAAUAGGGAUAGUUGGGGGCAUUAGUAUUCAAUUGUCAGAGGUGAAAUUCUUGGAUUUAUUGAAGACUAACUACUGCGAAAGCAUUUGCCAAGGAUGUUUUCAUUAAUCAAGAACGAAAGUUAGGGGAUCGAAGACGAUCAGAUACCGUCGUAGUCUUAACCAUAAACUAUGCCGACUAGGGAUCGGAUGAUGUUAAUUUUUUAAUGACUCAUUCGGCGCCUUACG
rnacentral:rRNA from 1 species